rnacentral:rRNA from 1 species
UACGGAGGGAGCUAGCGUUGUUCGGAAUUACUGGGCGUAAAGCGCGCGUAGGCGGCUUGUAAGUUAGAGGUGAAAGCCCGGGGCUCAACUCCGGAACUGCCUUUAAGACUGCAUCGCUUGAAUCCGGGAGAGGUGAGUGGAAUUCCGAGUGUAGAGGUGAAAUUCGUAAGAUAUUCGGAAGAACACCAGUGGCGAAGGCGGCUCACUGGACUGGUAUUGACGCUGAGGUGCGAAAGCGUGGGGAGCAAACAGG